rnacentral:rRNA from 1 species
UACGUAGGGUCCAAGCGUUAAUCGGAAUUACUGGGCGUAAAGCGUGCGCAGGCGGUUGUGCAAGGCCGAUGUGAAAUCCCCGAGCUUAACUUGGGAAUUGCAUUGGUGACUGCACGGCUAGAGUGUGUCAGAGGGGGGUAGAAUUCCACGUGUAGCAGUGAAAUGCGUAGAGAUGUGGAGGAAUACCGAUGGCGAAGGCAGCCCCCUGGGAUAACACUGACGCUCAUGCACGAAAGCGUGGGGAGCAAACAGG